rnacentral:lncRNA from 1 species
UUGGGGGGUGGGGCUGGCCAACUUCUUCUGCCGGACUCGGAAUGGCGCGAGACUUUGCGAGGUGCCUCCGUGUGCCAAAAAUAGGCCGCGGACACAGCCGCGCUAAAAAAUAACCGCCCGAAGGCCGGGGCGCCAAGUUUGUCCAGCGGAAAAAGGCCACAAAAACGGGUGGGUUAUAGCCUUGGGGGGUGGGGCUAAACAACUUCGUCCGCCGGACUCGGAAUGGCAAGAGACUUUGCGAGGCGCCUCCGUGUGCAAAAAAUAGGCCGGGGGCACAGCCGCGCCCAAAAAUAACAGCCCGAAGGCCGGGGCGCCAAGUUCGUCCAGCGGAAAAAGGCCACAAAAACGGGUGGGCUAUAGCCUCGGGGGGUGGGGCUGGCCAACUUCGUCCGCCGGACCCGGAAUGACACGAGACUUUGCGAGGCUCCUCCGUGUGCCAAAAAUAGGCCGCGGGCACAGCUGCGCCCAAAAAUAACUGCCCGAAGGCCGGGGCGCCAAGUUCGUCCAGCGGAAAAAGGCCACAAAAACGGGUGGGCUAUAGCCUUGGGGGGUGGGGCUGCCCAACUUCGUCCGCCGGACUCGGAAUGGCGCGAGACUUUGUGAGGCACCUCUAUGUGCCAAAAAUAGGCCACGGGCACAGCCGCGCCCAAAAAUAACCGCCCGAAGGCCGGGGCGCCAAGUUCGUCCUGCGGAAAAAGGCCACAAAAAUGGGUGGGCUAUAGCCUUGGGGGGUGGGGCUGGCCAACUUCGUCCGCCGGACUCGGAAUGGCGCGAGACUUUGCGAGGUGCCUCCAUGUGCCAACAAUAGGCCGUGGGCACAGCCAAAUAUCCGCCCGAAGGCCGGGGCACCAAGUUCGUCCAGGGGAAAAAGCCCACAAAAACGAGUGGGCUAUAGCCUUUGGGGGUGGGGCUGGCCAACUUCAUCCGCCGGACUCGGAAUGGCGUGAGACUUUGCGAGGCACCUCCAUGUGCCAAAAAUAGGCCGCGGCCACAGCCGUGCCUGAAAAUAACAGCCCGAAGGCCAGUGCGCCAAGUUCGUCCAACGGAAAAAACCCACAAACAGGGGUGGGCUAUAGCCUUGGGGGGUGGGGCUGGCCAACUUCUUCCUACAGACUCGGAAUCGUGCGAGGCUUUGCGAGGCACCUCCGUGUGCCAAAAAUAGGCCGCGGGCAUGGCCGUGCCCAAAAAUAACCACCCGAAGGCCGGGGCGCCAAGUUCGUCCAGCGGAAAAAGCCCACAAAAACGGGUGGGCUAUAGCCUUGGGGGGUGGGGCUGGCCAAAUUCGUCCGCCGGACUCGGAAUGGCGCGAGACUUUGCGAGGCCCCUCCGUGUGCCAAAAAUAGGCCGCGGGCACAGCCGCGCCCAAAAAUACCCACCCGAAGGCUGGGGCGCCAAGUUCGUCCAGCGGAAAAAGCCCACAAAAACGGGUGGGCUAUAGCCUUGGGGGGUGGGGCUGGCCAACUUCGUCCGCGGGACUCAAAAUGGCGCGAGACAUUGCAAGGCGCCUCCGUGUGCCAAAAAUAGGCCACGGG